AGGGAUGUAGGUCAGUGAUAGAGCACUUACCUAGUAUGUGAGAGAACCUGGGUUCAAUCUCCAGCAUCACAA
rfam:Ictidomys tridecemlineatus contig085367, whole genome shotgun sequence.